CGUUCGUGAUGUUCUUAUAUUAACUCGGAAGUGUUGUAGUCAUCCCUAACAAGGGUCUCGAACCGUCUCAGUAUCUUGAUUUUGAUUUAAAAGCAAGUGGCAAGUUGCAACUUCUUGAUUCAAUGCUUGAGGAGUUGAGAAAAAGUGAUUUAAGGGUGCUCAUUCUUUUUCAGCAAUAUGAUAAAAAAUCUGGACAAGAAAAGAACAGAAUUGGCUUUGUACAUUUUGCAGAGAGGUCCAAUGCUAUGAAAGCACUGAAAGAUAUGAAUUAGAAGGUAAAGUUUUAGAGUGCUCUUUGGCAAAGCCACGGUCUGAUCAAAAGUCUGGAGGGUCAAACACACAGAAGUUAGGACCAGGAUUGCUUGCAAGUUAUCCACAACAUGUCGGUUAUGGUUUGGUUGGCGGUGCCUAUGGUGCACUAGGUGCUGGAUAUCAUGCUCUAGGUCUUGCACAGGUUUCUGAUCAAGAGAGUGUGCCAACUAAUACAACAAGUUCUGUACAUGAGGAAAAUCAUGUGAUAGUUGAAGAAUAUAAUAUAAUGUGGAAGUUAAUGAAUCAUUUUAUGUUUUGAGAACCAUUGCAGUACUUCAUGAUAGUUUUUGCUGACUAAUAUUGUACUUGAAUUUGAAUUUGAAUUCGUAUAUUUGUUAUACUUUGAUAUACAUUUAGUCAUCUAUAAA